GAUGAUGUAGCCAAGUGGGUACGGUGAUUUAUUUGAAAUCAAUUCCUCUUUGAGGGCGUAGGUUCAAAUCCUGCCAUCGUUG
rnacentral:tRNA from 1 species